rnacentral:lncRNA from 1 species
AGGUUUUCUUUCCUCAUGCUCAUGACUUACUGGAUCCUUUCCUGCAUUAAAAUAAAAAAGACAAACCUUUUUUAGAGGAAGACGCUGUUGUGGACAUUUUUCAUAGAGAAACGUACUAUUUGUAGACUUUUUUGGCUCUCCGCCAAUUAAAGCUUUACCGCAGAGCUAUACAUGGAAUCGCCGGCUCCUAACCAUUUUACGGAGGCAUUUUUGGAAGCCCUUCGGGUUCAAGUCCCAGUAAACAACGUUCACAGGUCAGAUCCCUUGGAUGUCAGGACCGCAUCCAUGGAGAAGAGCUGCUCUGAGAGCAUCUGUAACCCUGCUAUGAGGGGGAGCCUCCCACGGGAAGCCUAAGGCCCUUGAGCCUGCUUUGAAAACCUGGGGCAUCUCAGCACAUGCACGGUGAGCUCCAAAGCCACGAAGGGGCCGGGGGCCUCGGGCUGCCCAUGUGCGCCCCGCCCAGAAAGCAGACAGACUGUUGGGCGUGCACCUUCUUCUAGGUCCCCUUGGGCUGUGUUUACCUGCAAGCUCCAUUUCCUGGGCGGCCAUAACUUGAACCUCCAACUGGUCCUUGGCAGCCAUCCUGCUGCCCUUCCUGCCCACGGGCUCCGUGGCUGACUGGCCUGGGAAGCUAGAGGCGACCUCUGAACCUGGACAAGCUACCAGGUCUCCAGGACUGAAGGUUAUCAUCUAAGUUGGUGUUCUCAACUGGAGGCGAUUUACCCCCCACCCAGGAGACAGUUGGCAAUGUCUGGAGGAUAAGGACUCAGGACCUACCGAAUGGCAGAACUAAAAGAGCUAUAACAUAAACAGGGCUGAAACGUGCCCUGUGCUCACCACGCUGUGGGUGAAGAGAAGGAGAGAAGAGAUGCAGCCACUCAGGGAGCCCAGACCUGGGAGCUCCCCGAGCCCAGGCUGUGACUCCCUCUUUGAGGUCCUGUGGUUUCUGGUGUUUGCUGAGCUCCUGAACACCACCACAUUCCCUGGUGCCAGCUGGGGAAGCUGCUUGCCAUGCACAUGGUCAAGCCACAGCCUCACAGAGAGCCAGUGUCUGUUCCAGCACCUGGAGCUGCCCGCCCCACUGCAGCAGCCAGCAUGCCUGACUGUGUGCAGUGGCCGGACCCCAUGCUUGCUCGUUCACACACCCCCUGCCACUCCCCACCUGGCUCACCCUUGGCAGGUGUGGGAUCCAGGCUGGUAGUGUGAACCAAGCACAGCCUGCCAGGCCAGGUGAGCAGAACGAGGUGAGCAGGCCUGAGCAAAAGUCAGGCAAAGGCACCACUGGCCACAGAGUUUUCUGGCCAGAAAAGCAACACCCCAAAGAUCCCAUGAAAAUAAAAGGAGACUGAGCCAGCUGGUGUGGACUUUCCCUUUUCUCUUCCCAUUUUCCUCCUGCUUGAAUACAGAAGGGAUGCUUGUUACCAUGAAAAUGAGGGAAAGACUAAGACAACUGCACAGACAUGGGCCCAGCCAGAAUGGGGCACAGCUUUGAUCUGAACAUUGACAACUGCCUGUCUUCAAAAUUCAUGUUACAUAAGAAAAAAAAAACCUGUAAGUUUAAGCCAUUCAAGUUGGGUUUUCAGUUAUUUGCAUCUGAACACAACACUAAGCAUACAAUGUGCAUGAAGCAAUAAAAGAGCUGUGUCUAUGGAAGUUUGGUUAGUCAAUUAAUGCCACCUUCUCUGUGAAAUCCCAGGGACUUUGAGUUCUGGUCU